rnacentral:tRNA from 1 species
GGGCCUAUAGCUCAGUUGGUUAGAGCACCUGACUCAUAAUCAGGUGGUCGCAGGUUCGAGCCCUGCUGGGCCCA